AGUGAACGCUGGCGGCAGGCCUAACACAUGCAAGUCGAGCGGCAGCGGGUUCCCGCGAGGGGAUGCCGGCGAGCGGCGGACGGGUGAGGAACACAUCGGAAUCUGCCUGGUUGUGGGGGAUAACGUAGGGAAACUUACGCUAAUACCGCAUGCGACCCUGAGUCGACGGACUGGGGGUGAAAGUGAGGGACCUUCGGGCCUCACGCGACCAGAUGAGCCGAUGUCGGAUUAGCUAGCUGGCGGGGUAACGGCCCGCCAAGGCGACGAUCCGUAGCUGGUCUGAGAGGAUGAUCAGCCACACUGGGACUGAGACACGGCCCAGACUCCUACGGGAGGCAGCAGUGGGAAUCUUGACAAUGGGCGCAAGCCUGAUCCAGCCAUGCCGCGU
rnacentral:rRNA from 1 species